AUUGAACGCUGGCGGCAUGCCUUACACAUGCAAGUCGAACGGCAGCGGGGGAGAAGCUUGCUUUUCCUGCCGGCGAGUGGCGAACGGGUGAGUAAUACAUCGGAACGUGCCCUGUAGUGGGGGAUAACUAGUCGAAAGAUUAGCUAAUACCGCAUACGACCUGAGGGUGAAAGUGGGGGACCGCAAGGCCUCAUGCUAUAGGAGCGGCCGAUGUCUGAUUAGCUAGUUGGUGGGGUAAAGGCCUACCAAGGCGACGAUCAGUAGCUGGUCUGAGAGGACGAUCAGCCACACUGGGAAUGAGACACGGCCCAGACUCCUACGGGAGGCAGCAGUGGGGAAUUGUGGACAAUGGGCGAAAGCCUGAUCCAGCAAUGCCGCGUGUGUGAAGAAGGCCUUCGGGUUGUAAAGCACUUUUGUCCGGAAAGAAAUGGCUCUGGUUAAUACCUGGGGUCGAUGACGGUACCGGAAGAAUAAGGACCGGCUAACUACGUGCCAGCCGCCGCAGUAA
rnacentral:rRNA from 1 species